GCUUAUAAGUAAAACGAAAAAAAUUUGUUUGAAAAAAGGGGAACCUUCCUCUAAAGCUAAAUAUAAUAUAUAAGCGAUAGUGAAAAGUACCGUGAGGGAAAAUUUGAAUUAGUAGUUUUAUAAGCAGCUCGAAAAAAAGAGUGUACCUUUUGCAUAAUGGGUCAGCAAGUUAUGUUUAGAAGCGAGCAAUAAAAUAUUGCCCAGUUAAACCAAUUAUGAAAAAAUAAUAGAGUUUCUAAACAUAGACCCGAAAGCUAGUGAUCUUACCAUGGUCAGGGUAAUGAAGCCCGAACGAGUUAUCGUUGUAAAGAUAUUCGAUGAACUGUGGUAAGUUGGUGAAAGAUAAAACUGACUAGUAUAGCUGGUUUUCCGCGAAACCUAUUUAAGUAGGUAAUUUAACUAACAUCUUAGCAGGUACAGAACUGUGAUCUCUGGCAAAAAUUUAUUUUUGUAUAUAUCGGGGGAUCGUGUAGAUUUUAUCGGAGAGUAUUUGCACUCGGAAUGGCAAAGAUGAAUGUUGAAUAAUCAGACAUAGUGCGAUAAGGUUGUAUGUCUAAAGGGAAACAGCCCAGAACAAGAGUAAUAAGGUUCCAAAAUUAUUAUUGAGUGAAAUUAAGGAUGUUAUUAUCAAAUACAAUCAGGAAAUAGGCUUAGAAGCUGCCAUUUUUUGAAGAUCUCGUAACAGAGCACUGAUUAAAUAUUUUAGAUAUUAAUACCGAAAAUAUAACGGAUCUAAAUAAUAUACCGAAACCUUGUACGUAUUAUUAUACGGGGUAGCGGAACAUUGGAUAAAUCUUAGAUUUUAUCUUUUUUAAGUUAAAAAAAUAAUAGAUAAUCCAAGAGAGAAUGCUGACAUGAGUAACGAAAAAGGAAAAUAUUAUUUUUCCUCGCCUUAAGCUUAUGGUUUAUUUUAAAUUUCGGUAUCUAAGUAUAUACCCCAAAGGGUCUAUAUGAUGAUAAUAAUAAUUAUUUUUUGUAAACAAAAUCUUUAUUUAGUGAUAAAGGUUCAGGAAAUUGUAACAAAAAUCUUAAAAAAAUAAUUAUAAACCGUACCUAAAUACUAUCGCAAGUAAGCAAGUAGAGUAUACAAAGGCGUUUGAGUGAACAAUCAUUAAGGAACUCGGCAAAUUAACUACCGUAACUUCGGGAUAAGGAGGACCAUUACUAUAGAUAUAUAAGUAUCAAAUAGUAAAAGGAAUCAUAAAAUAGUGUUGUACGACUGUUUAAUUAAAACAAAGCACUCUGCCAAGAUAGAAAUCUAAGUAUUGAGUGUGAUGUCUGCCCGAUGUCGGUAGGGUAACAGAUUUACUUAAUUAUUUAAUUAGGUUUUGAUGAACACCCCGAUUAAUGGCGGCCUUAUCUAUAAGGGGCCUAAGGUAGCGGAAUACCUUGGCCGUUAAAUGCGGUCUUUGCAUGAAUGACUUAACGAUACAACAGCUGUCUCGAUGAUUGGCUCAGUGAAAUUGAAUUAGCAGUGCAGAUGCUGCUUACCUCUAGAUAGACAAGAAGACCCUUU
rnacentral:rRNA from 1 species